CUAAACAAAAAGGAUUGAUACUAAUAAUAAAGCGUCUAUCGCCACAUGAAUAGUUCUUGUGAGCUAAAAACCCAUCUAAAGUGACAGAGAAGAAGCUUCCAAACAAUCGACGGCGUAGUGUAUCUAGAAUUCUUUUUUAUAAUACAAAAGAUGGACUGAAGGAAGCAUAGUCAUUGACAGUAAUAAAGAAAAACGAAAUACAAGUCACUCUCGAGAAAAAGGGCUGAUAUAAUGAUAUGGAAAUAAAGCAACGCAUGUCGUCGCAUUUUAAUUAAGAUAUACUUGACAGACAAACAUCCUUGUAAAGCUAUAAAAGAAACAAUUUUACUCAUUUGUUUGUG